GCCGGCGUGGCGGAAUGGCAGACGCGCUGGACUCAAAAUCCAGUGAUCGCAAGAUCGUGUGGGUUCAAGUCCCUCCGCCGGCA
rnacentral:tRNA from 1 species